UGCCAUAUCAAUAAGCGGAGGAAAAGAAACUAACAAGGAUUCCCCUAGUAACGGCGAGUGAAGCGGGAAGAGCUCAAAUUUGAAAUCUGGCAGUCUUCGAUUGUCCGAGUUGUAAUCUAUAGAGGCGUUUUCCGUGCCGGACCGUGUCCAAGUCUCCUGGAAAGGAGUAUCAAAGAGGGUGAUAAUCCCGUACUUAACACGACCACCGGUGCUCUGAUUUCCGUCUUCUACGAGUCGAGUUGUUUGGGAAUAA
rnacentral:rRNA from 1 species